rnacentral:rRNA from 1 species
AGCGAACGCUGGCGGCAGGCCUAACACAUGCAAGUCGAGCGCCGUAGCAAUACGGAGCGGCAGACGGGUGAGUAACGCGUGGGAACGUGCCCUUCAGUUCGGAAUAACCCAGGGAAACUUGGGCUAAUACCGGAUACGUCCGAAAGGAGAAAGAUUUAUCGCUGAAGGAUGGGCCCACGUAAGAUCUGCUAGUUGGUAAGGUAACGCCCAACCAAGGCGAUGAUCUUUAGCUGGUUUGAGAGGACGAUCAUCCACACUGGGACUGGGACACGGCCCAGACUCCUACGGGAGGCAGCAGUGGGGAAUAUUGGACAAUGGGCGCAAGCCUGAUCCAGCCAUGCCGCGUGAGUGAUGAAGGCCUUAGGGUUGUAAAGCUCUUUUGGCAGGGACGAUAAUGACUGUACCUGCAGAAUAAGCCCCGGCCAACUUCGUGCCAGCCGCCGCCGUAAGAC